GCGCCCGUAGCUCAGCUGGAUAGAGCGUUUGGCUACGAACCAAAAGGUCGGGGGUUCGAAUCCCUCCGGGCGUA
rnacentral:tRNA from 1 species